GCCCAGAUAGCUGCGUCGGUAGAGCACCACACUUUUAAUCUGAAGGUCCAGGGUUCAAGAUCCUGUUUGGGUG